GAAUGGAAAUUCAAAGCACCCUCUGUCCGGCUAGUGAAGACGACGACAACGAUGUAAAUCUUCACAAAAGUAGACAAAACCCAAAUGCGGUCUCCUCACGUCCAUUGCAUGAAUCCGGUCACCGCCUCGCCCUGAGCUCCAGCCGUGCCGAGCGGCGGAGGAUCGAUGGGUGCCGUCACCUUCCAUCCCAUCUCCUUCUCCGCCUCCCCCGCUCUUAGCCCCAGAAGCCACCACCAGCGAGCAUUCUUCUCCCCUUCUUCUUCUUCUUCUUCUUCUUCUUGGCUCGAGCUCGUGGGGAAUCGGCGGAUUCUUCUCUCACCGGGGCGUCUGGCUGUUCGAUUUCGUCCUCUGCAGGCGGCGAUUUCGGCCCGAAGAGAAGAAAUAUUCGACACUGAGCUGCGGUCUGUGCUUGAACUUGCUACUGAUGAUGAAUUGUACGAGCUGGAAAGCAUUCUCUUUGGGCCGAGCUACUUCAGUCCCUUGCUAAAAUCAUUUACAAGUAGAGAACAUGCUGAUUUUCUUAUGGGUGGAGAGGCUAUUGAGGAACGAGAAGAUUUUAUAGCACAUUUAGAGUCAAGAUUCUUGUACCUUGCAGCAGAUGCCCGUUCAACAUUGCGGGGUUGGAGACCAUCUUACAGAAAUGUCUUACUUGAUGUGAGAAGAAAACUGGGUAUUCCAUGUUCAAAAAAAUUGUCAGCAGAAGACCUUGAAGUUGAAAUUUUUCUUCACAUGUUGAAUGAAUAUUCAAGCAAGGAGGUGGGCACUAUUUCUUUUCCAUGGGAUGGCAGCAAACAUUCAAAUGGUCAUGGAAGUCUUGAAGUUGGACUCAGCCAGUGGAAGGUGCAUGCCUUUCCUGCAUUGAGAUUUGGGGCAAAAGAACUCCAGCAAAUAUUUCUGAAGGGUGGUGGCAUGUUAGGUGUGGCAAAGAUUUAUGAAACGUUAGCUCAGAGACUAUCUGGAAAGAUGCUACUGGAGGCUGCAAACUAUGAGAUAAAGCAUGAAAUUGUAAAACAGGGUGGACAACUAGUAGCUGUUGGCCUGGAGUCAAGGGCAGCUGCAAUUGCUGCAAGACAGGGCUUGGCUCGUGCUGCAACACGGUAUCUUGGGCUGAAGAGUUUUAUGAUGUUACUUGGGCCACUGAUGUGGGGUACAUUUCUGGCGGACAUCAUUAUUCAAAUGCUUGGCACUGAUUAUGCUCGGGUUCUGCGGGCAAUCUACGCAUUUGCUCAGAUCCGCCUUACACGAACAUAUGGCUGGACUUCCAAACAAUGAGUGAUGAGUUGAUGAUUUUCUAUUUUUGCAUAUCAAUGUCUUGUCUGCCUUGUUUAGAUCAGCACAUAUCGGAUUGGUUGAAGCUGCCUUUAGGAUGUUCUUUGUGGUGGCACUGCCCCUUUUGCAGCUCCGAAGCUCUCUAUCCAGAGAAUGCAGUGGUAGCAUGCUUUGGGUUAUAUACGAGUCACCUUCUUUCAAGAUCAUGUUGUGCAUGAAAUGCAAAGCAUUCUUCGCAUGCCUCUGUAGCAAGCUUGGGAAAGUAUGAUCGGGUGGAAUAAUCCUCUGAUCCUUUUCCAUCUUGUAAUAAGAAGUGGCCCUUCUAAAUUGUACAUGACCGAAGGCGAGAGGAAAUCGGGUUGGGCAACGAACAAGGAAGGAUUUAAGAGCUGAUCUUAUAAUUCUGUAAUAUUCUCGAUUCAUUUUGGUACGUUUGAAAGGCCAGUGAUCAUUCAAGUGAUUGGCCAGCAGACCAUUUCAUGAACAUCUCCUGUACAUAUGAGAAAUAGGCGUAAAUUAGCUGAUAUUACUGAUGCACAUUUUUCCAGACCUGUCAUCAUAAAGCCAGGAAAGUAGGUUGUACCAACUUGCCGCACUUAUGCUUUUACCUAAAAUUUGCCGUAUCAGUCG